UUUGUUGGCAGGGACAUUCUGAAUAAACAGAGAUAACUUUAAAAUGGCUUCUCUUUCUCUUAGAUUUUAUGAAAAAUAUUUUCUAUUCCCAAGCAGAUUUUGAGGGAACAAGCAGUUCUUUAGAUUUGUACAUUUGAAUGUUGUGUAAUGGUUUGCUGUGAUAUGUCUCCAUCAGCUUGUUUUAAAAGUUUUGUACAUACCUGUGAACGAACAACAACUGUGUUGUAGACUUUUAGCUGAUGCUGACAAAUAUUUGUACAAUUAAAUAAAUAUGAGGGAUUUGAUUUACAUAAUAUGGGAUACUUCUUCUGGUUCUGUUGGGGAUAACAAACGCUCCCUGUUCACUUUUUCCUGCUGAUGGUUUAAGACAUAUCCUCAAAGCCUCAGUCCGGCUGAGACGCAUUCUGGCCUCUCUAUAAAGCACCCUCCAUCUCUGACUGGUCAGCUGGCUGUGCAAAAACAAGAAGAUGAAAGGUGUCUGAUAUUGAGAUAUGACAACUUUAUCUUAAACUGUGCUGUCUGUUUUGCAUGAAAAGUGCUAUACAAAUAAAGUCUGAUUUGUUUUUCACAGUGCAAGCACAUGGAUGUGUGAUGUGAGAGGGACGAAAAAAGUAAAUAAAGUCUUAUACUUCGACUUGAAAUUUGUGAGCCCUGGAAAAAAGGAUGCAGGAAUGAAAUUCAUUCUUGCAGGCCAGUUAGCAGAUGCAAUACAAAUAAUAUCAGCCAUGAUUUAAAAAACUGUGCUUUCAAAGAUUAGAGAAUGGAUUCGACCAAAUGCUGAUGCUCCAGCUUUGCCCACAAUCAAAGAAGAACUUGGAGAUUCUAUUUGGAAAAGUUUCUCCUCAUGUAUGAAUGUACAUCCUGAAGUCUUAGUUUCAGUUGAGGAUUUAGAUGCUAAAAAGCUCAAAGAAAUGUUAGAGAUGAAAACAGAAAGCAAAGUUAGUUCUCUUCUCUCAGAAGCAUCUAGCUCAUUGCUCUUUAUGUUUGUGGCCUAGUAGAAAGUAUCAGACAUCUUGGCCACAUGGUUUGCCAUGCGGGCGUUUGUCUAUGAAAAUUACUUUUUAAAACAUCAGACCAAAUCCUCACAUCAAGGUAUUAAGUCAAGUUGUUCUGACACACAGUCUCCAAAAAACGGAAAAUCAUCAGUCUCUGCUAAGUCACAAACAAUCUGUGAUAAAUAUAUUAAGUAAAAGGUCAGAAAAUGUGUAGACCUCCUCACCCAUCCGGCUUUCUUUUUUAGCAAGUAUAAGUAUAGUAUAAGUAUAGUGUCAUUCUAAGUAAACAUAAAUAUGUUUUUUAAUGGAUUUUUUAAUUGUUGUACAUUAAUAUGACUGUAUAUUAUUUGCUUAAUGUAUCCUUGCUAGCCACUUUUGUAUUUGGAGAAAACUCCUUUCCUUUUGUGCCAUGUCCUCUGCUUUUCCCACUUAUUUUGAGUUUUCUACACUGCAUCAAACCAGGUUUCUGGUGUUUCAUCAGGGGUUUGGUAAACAACAAUAGCAUUUGUUUGCCUCUGUUGCAAUCAGCUGCUAAAUUCUGACAAAGGCUGCAGAUGGAAAUAUAAUC